AUUGAACGCUGGCGGCAGGCUUAACACAUGCAAGUCGAGCGGAGCGAGGGUGCUUGCACCUUAGCUUAGCGGCGGACGGGUGAGUAAUGCUUAGGAAUCUGCCUAUUAGUGGGGGACAACAUUCCGAAAGGAAUGCUAAUACCGCAUACGCCCUACGGGGGAAAGCAGGGGAUCUUCGGACCUUGCGCUAAUAGAUGAGCCUAAGUCGGAUUAGCUAGUUGGUGGGGUAAAGGCCUACCAAGGCGACGAUCUGUAGCGGGUCUGAGAGGAUGAUCCGCCAACGUGGGACUGAGAAACGGCCCAGACUCCGACGGGAGGCAGCAGUGGGGAAUAUUGGACAAUGGGCGGAAGCCUGAUCCAGCCAUACCGCGUGUGUGAAGAAGGCCUUUUGGUUGUAAAGCACUUUAAGCGAGGAGGAGGCUACUUAGAUUAAUACUCUAGGAUAGUGGACGUUACUCGCAGAAUAAGCACCGGCUAACUCUGUGCCAGCCGCCGCCGUAA
rnacentral:rRNA from 1 species